rnacentral:tRNA from 1 species
AAUAGUUUAGUAUAAACAUUACAUGUAGCUUCCAACUUCAAAAUUUAAUUAAUUAAAACUAUUA